CCGGCCGGCCGGUCCCUGCACUCUUGUUAGUUCCUGUAGCAGGGGUCCCGGAGGACAGGGUGUGGCAGUCAGCAGCUCCUCUUCAGCCCAGGCAGACCUAGUUCCUGUCCCUCAGCUGCUACUCUCUGGCUGUCUGAAUUUAGGCAACUGACUUAAUCUCUCUGGUCCCCAGGUCCUCCUGUAAUGACAUUAGAACCCUCAGAGGAGCAGCAAGGGGCAGAUGACAUAACACCCUGGUGUAUUUUCUGCAGGGCUCAGUAAUGUGACUUCCCCUGAAGCAGGGGAGCUUCCCUGAGUUCUGCUUCAGCUUGAGGAGAGGAGACAGCAACAUCAAAGCAGUGACACUUGGAGCUCUGAGACAGAUAAACUGACACAAGAUGGAGCUGCCUGAGCCCCCAUGGACCAUGCCUUGAAUGCAGCAGGACACUGGGCAAGAGAGUGCCCCAUCCUGGCGUUCCUUUGGGACCUUACCCCAGGGCUAUUGGACUGUCCUAGCCACCAGAGAGUAGUCUAACCUGUGGGCAUUCACCAGUGAUAAAGUUGUCCUUGUUAAAACACCUAGCACCAGCUUCUACAUGGGCAUUAACCGUCAUCCUGUCAAUACUCCUAAACCCCAGUACAGCGCCUCCUUUCAGCAGGAAGCAGAAAGAAAGAAAGAAAGAAAGAAAGAAAGAAAGAAAAUCUUCACCCUUUUUCCUAAUAAUAAAAAGAUGGCAGCGAAAGGAUUUUGUCCCCUGGAUGGGAAGCUGCAGCGGUGGGAGGCUGGGAGGCGGAACCAAGAGGCUCUAUUUGAGGUCACCUUUCCUGCCCCUAAGCAAUUUACUUGUGGUGCGAAAUGAAUUCCAUUGGGCUACCUGUGCAUCAAUAAUGCCCCUUAGGCUCCACCCCAAACCUAAGCUACAUGUAUGCCCCCACACCAUGUGUCCAGCAGAGAGAAAGCCAGACCUCGGAGGUCAUGGAGUCUCUCUCCACAUUCUUAAAAUAAAGGCCACUUUUAAUUCAUACUUAUCUUUUUAGCCACACCGAAAAUUCUAUCAGAAUCUUGGAAUAAUUCCCAGUCCGCAGUGAAUCUCUAGGUCUAAUAAGGAAGAAAAUCCUGUUUUUUUGUUUCCAAGUGUUGCAGAGGUAACUGGACACAUGCCUUGUGCUUCACUAGAAUUAGAAGAAGAGAAAACUCCCAGGAAGCAGCACAGAGAGGGGGGAAAAAAGAGGCUGGUACUUUGGGGCUGGUGUGUGUUAGAAUUUUCUGGUGCAAUAGAGAAACAAAAAGUUCAAAACAAAAAGAACAGGUUUAUUGAGGACAUGGAAAGGAGCACACAACCCUUGGUGGUUAGUCUGUCUCUUUCUACCAGAUACAGAGAGGCAGAGAGUUAUAUGAUCUCUGAUUUGAAGUGGUGCAUGGGGUGGAUAUUGACGACCUGUGAGGAACUGAUUGGAAUUCUCUGUGUGUGAAAACAGGAAAGAGAGUUGCAAUUAGGGCUAAAGAAGAAGGAGGAAGUGAUAAGCAUUUCUGCUUUGGCUCUCUGCCAUAUUAGACCACUGCCAUAGUUGUACAGUAAUUUAUACUAGGGCAUCAACCUUUCAUUCCCAUCUUUGUAUUGUUACAAAAAGGGCAAAGAUUGUCUCUUAGUACUUCCUGCUCGAUGAGGGCAUCCUGUUGGGGUCCAGGAGGUUGAUGGGAUGAUGGUUGAUGCCCGUGUAGAGACUGGUACCAGGUGUUUCAGCCAGGACAAGGAGUUUUUUGUUGGUGAACGAUCACAUCCUAGAUUGGAAAAAUAAAGAAACACAAGGUGCUUUGAGGAGGCAGGUCACUAUCAUAAUUAAAGGACCCAGGAAAGGUAGAAGAAAAGCUACUGUUGAUCUGAAUGUGUCAUUCCAUCAGGGCCAUGGUGAGAAUGAAUCUGAAAAGUAAGCAUGGAGCUAGAAGUGGUGAAAUUAAAAGAGGUCAUUAUUCCCCCAACUGUUUUUUUUUUUUUUUUUUUUUUUUGUCUUUUUCUUUUUAUCAGUAUCGGGGAUCGAAUUCACAACCACACAUUUGUAAGACAGGCGCUUAUGCUGCUGAGCUAAAUCCCCAGCCCCAUUCCCCCAUCUGAAAGGGUAAAAGUGUAGGUAGGAUUUGUCCUUGGCCCAGGAAUUGAGCUGGAGAGAAUGUGAGGCAUGAGAAAUGUAAGCGCUGACAGUUGAAUCAUGUUUGGGAAAUUAUAAACUAAGGGUGGGUAGGGCUGUGGCUGCGUCGCUAUAAGUGAGAUGAGACUCUAGAUCAGAAGGGUCUCAUGUUUAGAAUGUAAGAGAUUAGGAGCCACAAAGGAUAACAAAACAUGAUCUAGCCUGAAAAUUGUGACCGUGGGACCUUGGUGAGAUGGAGAUGGAAGAUAGGAGAUGUGUGAGCACUCGUGAUGUUUAGAGUCAGGGGAGUCAGGGUUAGGAGGGCACCGCUCAGCUUGAGUGAUGUGGAACCAGGAUGGCAGUCCAGCAACGCUGACCGCCAUUGAACUUCCGAGGAAGACCAGUAGGGGCCACUCCAUUUUAGCUGUAGUCCUGUUGAGGGAUCUGAGAAAUAAAGAUUAGGCCAUUAUCUGACUGGAUACUCUGAGGUAGACCAAACUUUGGAAUUAUUUUUUGAAAUAGGACUUUAGUAACUACGUCAGCAGUCUCCCUGGUUGUGGGAGAGGCUUUUCUCCAUCCUAUAAAAGUACAGACAAAGGUGAGAAGAUAUUUGAAAGUUUUGUGAUGGAGCAUGUUUGUAAAAUCUACCUGCCAGUCUUGACUCGCAGGUAGGUGUGUCCACAAAAUUGAUGCAUAGGAAAGGAAGGGGUGGUAUGUGUCCCUCAGGAGAGGUUCUAACCUGAUAUGACAGGUGUGAGUAAGUUGU